CCCUGACUGAUCCGAAGAAGAAGAAGAAGAAAACUCAUAUUUAUAAUUUUUUCCUCGCCUUGGAUUAUUAUGUUUUCUUCUCGGCAUCUCAACAUGAUGUUUUCGAUCACAAUUAGUUCAUUUUACACAUAUGAAUACGGAUAUAAUCCUAAUAUUUACACAUUUUAUUUUUCAAUUUUGAAUUCACAGCCAUUUUCACUGACGCAUGCGUA
rnacentral:lncRNA from 1 species